rnacentral:rRNA from 1 species
CGGGGUGCAGCAGGCGCGAAAACUNUGCAAUGCGGGAAACCGUGACAAGGGAACUCUGAGUGCCCGUUAAAUCGGGCUGUCCAUCGGUUUAAAUAACCGGUGAAGAAAGGGCCGGGCAAGACCGGUGCCAGCCGCCGCGGUAAUACCGGCGGCUCGAGUGGUGGCCACUAUUACUGGGCUUAAAGCGUUCGUAGCUGGUUUGUUAAGUCUCUGGGGAAAUCUUCCGGCUUAACCGGAAGGCGUCUCAGGGAUACUGGCAGACUAGGGACCGGGAGAGGUGAGAGGUACUCCAGGGGUAGGAGUGAAAUCCUGUAAUCCUUGGGGGACCACCUGUGGCGAAGGCGUCUCACCAGAACGGCUCCGACAGUGAGGGACGAAAGCUGGGGGAGCAAACCGGAUUAGAUACCCGGGUAGUCCCAGCUGUAAACGAUGCGCGUUAGGUGUAUCGGUGACCACGAGUCACCGAGGUGCCGAAGAGAAAUCGUGAAACGUGCCGCCUGGGAAGUACGGUCGCAAGGCUGAAACUUAAAGGAAUUGGCGGGGGAGCAC